rnacentral:rRNA from 1 species
UACAGAGGGUGCAAGCGUUGUUCGGAAUUAUUGGGCGUAAAGGGAGUGUAGGCGGUUCUUUAAGUCUUCUGUGAAAUCUACGGGCUUAGCUUGUAACGUGCAGAGGAAACUGAAGGGCUUGAGUGUCGGAGAGGAUAGGGGAAUUCCCGGUGUAGAGGUGAAAUUCGUAGAGAUCGGGAGGAACACCGGUGGCGAAGGCGCCUAUCUGGCUGACAACUGACGCUGAGACUCGAAAGCAUGGGGAGCAAACAGG